GACGAACGCUGGUGGCGUGCUUAACACAUGCAAGUCGAACGGAAAGGCCCUGCUUUUGUGGGGUGCUCGAGUGGCGAACGGGUGAGUAACACGUGAGUAACCUGCCCUUGACUUUGGGAUAACUUCAGGAAACUGGGGCUAAUACCGGAUAGGAGCUCCUGCUGCAUGGUGGGGGUUGGAAAGUUUCGGCGGUUGGGGAUGGACUCGCGGCUUAUCAGCUUGUUGGUGGGGUAGUGGCUUACCAAGGCUUUGACGGGUAGCCGGCCUGAGAGGGUGACCGGCCACAUUGGGACUGAGAUACGGCCCAGACUCCUACGGGAGGCAGCAGUGGGGAAUAUUGCACAAUGGGCGGAAGCCUAAUGCAGCAACGCCGCGUGCGGGAUGACGGCCUUCGGGUUGUAAACCGCUUUCGCCUGUGACGAAGCGUGAGUGACGGUAAUGGGUAAAGAAGCACCGGCUAACUACGUG
rnacentral:rRNA from 1 species